rnacentral:rRNA from 1 species
GACGAACGCUGGCGGCGUGCUUAACACAUGCAAGUCGAACGAAGUGGCGAACGGGUGAGUAACGCGUAAUCAACCUGCCCUUCAGAGGGGGACAACAGUUGGAAACGACUGCUAAUACCGCAUACUGAAGGAGGGGAUUGCGUCUGAGUAGCUAGUUGGAGGGGUAACGGCCCACCAAGGCGAUAAUAAGUCGCCGGGCUGGUAUGUGGACCGGCCACCAUGGGACUGAGACCGGGCCCAGACUCCUACGUGAGGCAGCAGUGGGGACUCUUUCGCAAUGGACGAAAGUCUGACGAUGCAACGCCGCGUGAGUGAUGACGGCCUUCGGGUUGUAAAGCUCUGUUAAUCGGGACGCGGUACCGGAAUAGAAAUCCACGGCUAACUACGUGCCAGCAGCCGCGGUAAUUC